AGUGGCGGACGGGUGAGUAACGCGUGAGGAUCUGCCUUUAGGAUGGGGACAACAGUUGGAAACGACUGCUAAUACCCAAUGUGCCGAAAGGUGAAAGCUUUAGCGCCUGAGGAUGAACUCGCGUCUGAUUAGCUAGUUGGUAGUGUAAUGGACUACCAAGGCGACGAUCAGUAGCUGGUCUGAGAGGAUGAUCAGCCACACUGGGACUGAGACACGGCCCAGACUCCUACGGGAGGCAGCAGUGGGGAAUUUUCCGCAAUGGGCGAAAGCCUGACGGAGCAACGCCGCGUGAGGGAAGACGGCUCGUGGGUUGUAAACCUCUUUUCUCUAGGAAGAAGAACUGACGGUACUAGAGGAAUCAGCAUCGGCUAACUCCGUGCCAGCAGCCGCGGUAAUACGGAGGAUGCAAGCGUUAUCCGGAAUUAUUGGGCGUAAAGCGUCCGUAGGCGGUUUUACAAGUCUGCUGUUAAAGCGUGCAGCUCAACUGCAUAUAGGCAGUGGAAACUGUAAGACUAGAGUGUAGUAGGGGUAGAGGGAAUUCCCAGUGUAGCGGUGAAAUGCGUAGAUAUUGGGAAGAACACCGGUGGCGAAAGCGCUCUACUGGGCUACAACUGACGCUGAUGGACGAAAGCUAGGGGAGCGAAAGGGAUUAGAUACCCCUGUAGUCCUAGCCGUAAACGAUGGACACUAGGUGUUG
rnacentral:rRNA from 1 species